rnacentral:rRNA from 1 species
GGGCCCGCACAAGCGGUGGAGCAUGUGGUUUAAUUCGAUGAUACGCGAGGAACCUUACCAGGGCUUAAAUGUAAGUUGCAUUAGUUAGAGAUAGCUAUUUCUUCGGACUACUUACAAGGUGCUGCAUGGUUGUCGUCAGCUCGUGCCGUGAGGUGUCAGGUUAAGUCCUAUAACGAGCGCAACCCCUGUUGUUAGUUGCCAUCGAGUCAUGUCGGGAACUCUAACAAGACUGCCGGUGCAAACCGUGAGGAAGGUGGGGAUGACGUCAAAUCAUCACGGCCCUUACGUCCUGGGCUACACACGUGCUACAAUGGCCGGUACAGAGAGCAGCCACUACGCGAGUAGGCGCGAAUCUAUUAAAACCGGUCUCAGUUCGGAUCGGAGUCUGCAACUCGACUCCGUGAAGCUGGAAUC